rnacentral:tmRNA from 1 species
GGGGGCGUACUGGUUUCGACUGGAUGGAUACGCCGAGGGUUGCAUGCCGAGGAUGGUUCGUUGGCCUCGUUAAUCAUCGGACCAAAACAUAACUGCUAACGAAGAAUUAGCUCUCGCGGCCUAAGUGCCCGAGCGUUGUCCCACUGACACCUGCUAGGGGGGAACAACGCAGCAGCAGGAUCGGCUCUGAUCGGAGAUCGCGCGUGAGGGGCUUAAACUUAUUUCAUGCGAACUAUGCGGGGUCCAUCGUGUCAGGUCGGCAGGAUCAAGCAGACAACUCUCAACCUGAAUAAGCAUGUAGAGGCCCUUCGGUCGGUUUGUCUAGGACGCGGGUUCAACUCCCGCCGCCUCCACCA